CUCUCUGCAUUGGUUGUGUUCUGUUUCUAAGAGCCGCCGAUCGUCUGUUUCCGUGUAGGAGGAAUAGCAUUUACACUUGUGGGUGUAUUGCUGGACUGUGUGUACGGGUCUCUCACUCUCUCCCCGGCAGAUUGUUUUCAGUCAGCUGUUCGGAUUUGGAUAUUAAGCGCGCCGGGCUUUGUAUGUUGUGGGACUCGCUGGAUGUGGAUGUGCUUUUGUGACCUCUCCCUACCCCUGUAAACCUCCAGUUGCCAGGGCCCGGGCUCCAUGAAAAGCGGUGCAAGCAGCCUAAAGGCUUAAUCGGUGUGGAGGAUUUCUUACUCUUGUGGAAUAACAUCCUUCCUGGCAACGGGGUCACUCUGCUUGGCAGAUGCUGCCUGGACUGCUGAGAGUUCUGUUUUUUCCUGAAAUUAUGUGGACAAUUGAAGUGUUCACACUGGACGG